CCUCCCCCUCCUCCUCCUCGCCCCUCUGCAGGUUUAAAUUAGCAUCCCAUCUCCUGCACUCCAGCGUGUGAUAACACAUCUGAUCUGCGGCAGCAUGGAGUCAGAAUACUAAAUGCGUGAGUCGCUCUGAGGACCAGCAGAGCUCUGCCAACCCAUUCGAGGUAAUCUCUCACCCCCCGUCCCCCCUCCUCCCCUCCGACUCCCAUCUCCUCAGCUGCUUCAAACGUUUUAACCAUUCAGGCUAUUAGUCAGAAAGAGAGUCAUAAAACAGUUGUUCCUGAUGGGGACUGUGUGGGAUAUAUUCCAUUAGUCAGACAGGACGGAGGGAGGAGAGGCCAGUGUUAAUAUUCCAUUUCAUUGUAAAUGCACAUCGACAAAACUUGUGUCUCUGUAUCAAAUGUAAAAAUGAAAAAGGAGAAAAUAAAGAAUUAGCCAUAAGAAUGUGUGGUUUUUGGCAAAUAAAACAAACAGUGUAAUACAUAAAAGUGUCCAGCAUGGCCUUUAUUGUACUGUUCACUUGUACAUGUUUCAUGCUGUUCCGUGGUCAUAAUAACCUUUAGGAGUGGAACUACGUGCACUUCAAAUACAUCAAAUUAAAUAAAUCAAAUUAUACCAAAAAGAAUACAAAACCAAGGGAUGUCAAAGCAGUUAAACUACACUAAUGUGCCCUGAGUUGAAUGAAGGCAAAUUAAACUGUAGUGAUGAGAUAUAAAUGUCUUGUUAGUCAACAGCAUUCUAAUCUUUAUUGAAGGAUUUUCUUUCCUUUCCUGAUGGAAAAGAAGCUGAUCUGAAGCCCACAGCGAUUUCUCUCGUCCUGUCGGCUUCUUAUUUUGUUUACUUCUUUGGAGGAACGCGAGUCUUUAAAGGUUUAAUAAUGGACAAAACGCGCUUCAGAUGGACGUUUGCGAGCAGCUAACGAGCCGCUCGGGGAAUAUUCGCCGGGAGAAAGAAAGUCGACGGUUUGACUCACAGACACGCCGCUCUCGGACGAGAUGUCCCUCUGCGAGCUGGAUGAGCGCGAGGACGCCGGGAGGAGGAGGGUGGCAGGGGUUAACGUUGAGGGAGGAAGAGUGUCGAUAUCACAGCAGCAAUUACUGCUUUAUAAAUGGGCCCGGCGUCGCCGUGAAUGAGCAGCUCCAUCAAUCUGUCCUGACAGCGCUCCUUAGCCCGUCGCUCCCACUCCUGCCCGCAAUCUGUAGAUUUCAACUUUGCCCAGAAAUUGCUAAUCCGAUUGAGGCGUAACUUGGUUAGCUGCUGAAUGUGCUGGAGGAGGAGGAGGUGGUGGAGGAGGAGGAGGAGGAGGCAGACUGCCGGCUCAGCUCAAACACACCCAGCACACACACACACACACACACACAGUGCAGCUCUGCAUGAGGAGUCCUGCAGGGAGGAGGCCGGAGAGCAGCACUCUUCCCUCCUCGGGAGGUCCAACGGUGGUCUGAAGGUGUCAAUGAAAUCACGUCCGAGAUCUUAACGCUUGGUAUUUGCAUUAAUGAUGAAGAUAUUAAUCCGUCUCAAACAAACGUUCAGAAUCCUUCCAGGUUUAGCUCAUAAAGUAAAAAGCUAACGGGCCGCGGUCACAUGACUUUGUGUUAGAAGGAGGAGCCUUUACGGCAGCCCAAACAGCAGAUCAUCCCUUUCACAUAUAAGUUGUUAGGUCAGAGAAGGAGAAGUUAAUGUGAUGACGUAGUGAAAUGACGUUUGCCGUUUGACGGCAGAGAUUGUAGAUCGUAUCUGAUCUCCAACCAGCAGCCUGGCUGACUACAGGCCCGUCGCCCUGACCUCUGUAGUCAUGAAGUCUUUUGAACGGCUAGUCCUGACCCACCUGAAGUCCCUCACCGACCCCCUCCUGGACCCCCUGCAGUUCGCCUACAGAGCCAACAGGUCUGUGGACGAUGCUGUCAACAUGGCCCUCCACUACAUCCUCCAGCAUCUGGACUCCCCAGGAACCUACGCCAGGAUCCUGUUUGUGGACUUCAGCUCUGCCUUCAACACCAUCAUCCCGUCUCUACUGCAGGACAAACUCUCCCAGCUGCACCGCCCGACUCCACCUGCAAGUGGAUCACAGACUUCCUGUCUGACAGGAAGCAGCGCGUGAAGCUGGGGAAACAUGUCUCAGCCUCUCGGACCAUCAGCACCGGUUCCCCCCAAGGCUGCGUUCUUUCCCCUCUGCUCUUCUCCCUGUACACCAACAGCUGCACCUCCAGCCACCAGUCCGUCAAGCUCCUGGAGUUUGCGGAUGACACCACCCUCAUUGGACUGAUCUCUGGUGGGGACGAGUCCGCCUACAGGUGGAGUCUGACCAUCUGGUGUCGUGGUGCAGUCAGAACAACCUGGAGCUCAACGCUCUAAAGACAGUGGAGAUGGUUGUGGAUUUCCGGCGGAACAGAGCCCCACCCUCCCCCAUCACCCUGUGUGACUCCCCCGUCACUAUUGUGGAUUCCUUCUGUUUCCUGGGCUCCAUCAUCACCCAGGACCUCAAGUGGGAGCUGAACAUCAGCUCCAUCACCAAGAAGGCUCAGCAGAGGUUGUUCUUCCUGAGGCAGCUGAAGAAACUCAACCUGCCAAAGACGAUGAUGGUCCACUUCUACACGGCCAUCAUGGAGUCCAUCCUCUGCUCCUCCAUCACCGUCUGGUACGCUGCAGCCACAGCCAAGGACAAGGGCAGGCUGCAGCGUGUCCUCCGCUCUGCAGAGAGGGUGAUCGGCUGCAAUCUGCCGUCCCUGCAGGACUUGUUCGCUUCCAGGUCUCUGAAGCAGCUAAAAAGAUGGUAGCCGACCCCUCUCACCCCGGACAAAACCUGUUUGUGCCCCUUCCAUCUGGCAGGAGGCUGAGGUCCAUCAGGACUAAGACCUCCCGCCACACCAACAGUUUCUUCCCGUCGGCAGUCGGGCUCAUCAACAGAGCCGGUCCCCCACUGCCUGACUACAACAUUCCACCGGUCACUCCCCUUCAUACUGCACAUGUCACUUUAACUGCAAUUCAUCACUUUGUCGUCACUCGUCACUUAUGUUUCCUGGUUCCUGAUUCCUGAUCCUGAUUCACCGGUAUCUUGUCCUUCUCCAGCUUCGUUGUGGAUGCUCCCGGUGGUCGAUGACAACGACCUGUUUGUCAUUCAGCCUGCAGACUCAUCGAUGCUUUCACCUAAGAAACGUAUUAUUUAGACCAUCGAGAUGCCUGGAUCUUUUUGACAGCUCUUCCACAGAGUUUCCACUUUAGUCUUGCUUGUGGUAUGAAGCAUGAUUUAGGCAUGGAGACCCACACAGUGAGAUAAGUGCUCAUUGUGCAGCGGGCCGAGCCUCUAUAGUUUAGUAUUGAUCCUCGGCUGCCUCAUCCCAAAACCCAAUGAAUGGAGCUUUGGGGAUUAACAGCCAAUAGGAUCGCUGGGUAAUUGAGUCUUUAAAAAACACACAUGGAGAGCCCAGAGGUGAAUUCCCUUUGAGACUGUCGAUCUGCUGCCAAGUUACACCACAUUUUCACAUUUGUGAACAUUUUCAUGACUGUUGGUGUUUAGGCAUAAAAUAAUCCUGAAUUAGUGUCUUAAAAGAUUCAGAAAGUGUGUUUCAGACGCUGCGAUACAAAGAAGAGUCAUUUGAAGUUGUUUUUCCGGGUGUUUAACUAGCAAACAUUGGCGGUUUCUCUGCCUCUGCCCGGCUGGAAAGACCCACCUCUUCCGUCUGCCUUUGAACUGAGAACGAUAACGCUUCGGACGUAUUUCCUGGGAUCCAUUGAUGAAGGCAAUCAAUAGCCAGCAGCUUUGGACAGACAUCAAUGUAACACUUGUUCGGAUAAUCUGGGCUCUGUUUCUCCUCUCCCAGAUGACCUAAAUGAGCCGGAGCGAACAGACAAACACAGCAGUUCAGGUGUGAACGAGUCUAAAACUCUCCACAAUAUGUCCCAGCAUGCUCCGCUCUGACCUCCUGGACGCUGCAGCACAGCGUCUGUUCCUCGGCAUCCAUGCGGUGAAUUAACAGCCUCUGAUCAGCCAGCAGCUGCUUCUCUCCGGCACGGAAACAUUAUGAAUACAUCCGUCCAUACAUAUGUAUGCCGACAGAUUACCACCUCUGCAACCCUCCAGAUGCCGCCGCCGUAAUGACAUGCAACAUGAUCGUCUGUGUAUAUUUGUCUUAGCGGCGGGCCGGGCCUCUUGUUCUGCAUCCCAUUACACCGCUGCCGUGCCGAAACAUGCAUCACCUCACUGACAGAGUGAGAGGAGCAGCCAGCAAACAAAUAGCAUCCAGCUGAGCCGCGGGAUGCUAACUGCUGGCUCCGACGCAAAUGUGCCCUUUCUGUGAGCUCGCCGAGGACGAGAGGACCAUUUGGGUUUCUCUUCUAUUUAGCCUAGCUUAGCACAAAGACUGGAAGCAGGGGGGUACUGCUAGCCUGGCUUCGUUGAUCUUCCUCAUUAGCAUAAAGUCCCCAAAGGCUGCAAACAUUGUGAAGUGAAGACAUUUAGUCUCAUAUUGAUUAAAAAAACACCAAUACAAUAACUUUAUUCUUCUUCUGCUCUCCUGAAUUGUUGUGCGUUAGUUUAUUUACUACAAAGUUUGUAAAAUAUCCGAUGGAUAAGUCAUAAUAAGAUUAAACGUCAUACACACACACGCACACAAACAGACACACACAGAGCCCCAGUUGGUUGUCUCGCCGUCUUCAAGAGAGGACGACCGGGGGACAACUGGCGGCCAGAUAGCCGCAGCGGGGAGUAGGAGGGAGACGCCGCCCCGGCGCUUCCGUCCCACCUUUCCCUCCCCCUGUGUUCCCCGCCGCCCGUCGCCACGGUGACGGCGCCGGCUCAGGGCCGCCAGCUGACGACCGGCAGGGAGGAUUAAUCGGCGUCGGGCGGCGAGGCAUCUGCUGCUGGAGGACGAUUAAAGGGUCUUUCCAGCUAACAUGUGGAGGCACCACGGCCGCCUGUCUGUCUGACUGUCUUGUCUGUCUGUCUGUCUGUCUGUCUGUCUGUCUGUCUGUCUGUCUGUCUGUCUGUCUGUCUGUCUGUCUGUCUGACUGUCUGUCUGACUGACUGUCUGACUUUCCAUUUGACUGUCUGACGUCAUGAAACGUUCAAAUACAACCCUCACCUUCUUGGUUAUUUUGCUUCCGGUGAACGGGAAGCGACCUCAUCCGGACUGAGGACGUCUCAGAGACUUGUCCCAUCGGCCCGUUCAAAUGUUUGUGUAGGUACACGUGUGGAGAGCAGACCCUUGAGGACACGACGCAGAAAACCUUCCGUAUCUGCAAAUAUACCACGUAUCGAUCUCUCUCCAUGUCCACGUGUCUUCCUGUCCCCUGUUACGACCUGCCCCCCCUUCUGUCUCAGCCUCUCGGUGUUUGGGUUACAGGUCUCAGUCGUCCUUAGAACACAACGUGUUUCCAUUUGUUGUGACUGGCCUGUUUCUGCUCUAAAGUGAGACUCCGCCUGCACGCCGACUAAGACGCCGACUCGUCCGUCCCAAUCCAACGUCCCCUCGCAGUGGGAGGAGCUUUAGCGCCUUGUCAGUGACGGCCUAUAUUUACCCAGAGACGACGUUAGCCAUUUCCUGCAGAGAGCGAACCAAAGACCCGCUGGGUAGAGGUCUUAAUGCGAGCUCGCCUACGCAGACCAAGACCCAACGCUUAUUCUUUUAUUACGACCUCGAGUUCACCGGGAAGAACCGCCACAAGAGACCCGAUCACAGAGACCCAGCAAGGGUACAGAACCAGAGACCCAGCAAGGUACAGGACCAGAGAGACCCAGCAAGGUACAGAACCAGAGACCCAGCAAGGUACAGGACCAGAGGGACCCAGCAAGGUACAGGACCACAAAGACCCAGCAAGGAACAGAACCAGAGAGACCCAGCAAGGUACAGGACCGGAGGGACCCAGCACGGUACAGGUACAAGUGUGAGUAAAGAUGAAGAGAAGAUAAAUCCAUCAAACUCUGGAUGUUUCUUCUCUGCCUCCAUCACAAUAACGUGUGUUCAUCGGUCUCAUAACUCCUCCAUAAUAAUCCUUAGAAUAGAGACGUAGCAGAACAUGCGUCCGUAUUAGAAGGUCCACUGGGGAGCUGUUUGACGUCUCCUAAUGAUAGACUGCAUCUCAUGUUUGAAUGAAUAUGAUUAAUAUACUGCUGAUGUCUAUGUAAUCUUCUAUGGCUUCAUGGAUGUGCACGACGAGAACACAGUCCUCCCGUGUUCAUUGUGUCAUCAGUGAUCAGGAGCUGAUGAGUUUUUGUUAAAUGUGUGUUCCAGAGAAGCAGAAUAGUGUUUCUGCACCUCCAUCGGAGAGAUAACCCGACCCCCCGGCCACAGUCCUCGUAUCGUCCACAGCGGAGCUCCUCUAUUGAAGUCUCUUACCAGGGGAGUAUAUGAGGAGAAACAUCAUGGGGGCGUAGUUAUGAAAAACCUUUUGUUUUAUGGAAAAUAUGAAACUUUUGUUAGAAACCAGUGGCGGCAAGAACAGGGUGCCCAAAUUACUAAAAAGUUAAAUAAUAAUGUCACAAUAGUAAAAAUAAUUGAGUGAGUGGUUUAGUCAGUAACGAGCAGGUAUUAUUAUCUACAUCACUAACGUCCUGUGAAAUCUGACAAAAGUGCAGCAAUGUGAGAACAAGCAAAUGAUGAUUUUCCAAUAUAGAUUUUUUUUUUCCUCCAUCAUACGGAAAAAGAAAAUUAAAAUUGGCAUUUGACCUUUUUUCUUGUUGUGUAAGAUGCAAUAUCGCACGUGUCAGACGGCAAGAAAGUAGAAAUAUUUCAAAUUCAAAUUGAAGCUCUGAAAACGUUUUAUUUUUGUCGACUUGAUUCAGCUGUCUUUAGGAAACAAUGUCAAUUCCUACUCGAAGGGGGAAGGUUAUAAGGAUGCUGAUAUUAAUCGGACACAACAGCUUCUCUCUGUUAUUUAGUCUGUUUUUUGUUGCACUUCCACAUUGAACACCUGUUAAAGUCUCCAUCAUCUUUCCCACUAAUCAACACGCUGCAAUGCACCAGCAGAGGUCAAGAUUAAACACACUUCAAGUUGAUAUUAGGAAGAAAACCACCAGGUUGUAUUUCAACCUCAAAGGGAACCGUUCUAUGGACUAAGAGGUGUUCAAUAACCUGCUGCCUCUACUUCAGCUCGUGGCUAUCAAUCUUUAGUGGUGCGUGUCUCCCCGCCUCACUGACCCGGGAGACGCGUUCUGUCCAUCAGGGACGAAUCAGAGUCUCUGACCGCCGCGGGCAUCGAACGGUGAUCUCGGCCGGUUGAUGGAGGAGCGGAGGCUGCUUGUGAAGCCCGGCGCAGUAAAUCUCUGCGGAUCGGAGCGCUGCGACGUCCCUCGUCCCUUCGUCCUCUCUCUCUGCAGCGGGCGGAGCGGGCAGCGGCGCCGGAGUCGCUGGACGGGAGCAUGGCGCCCCCCGGAGGCCGAUCCCUCCACCCAUCACCCCCACUGCAGCGGGGGGGGCACGUCAUGAAUAUUUCACCGGGUUUAACUCCCCUUAAAAUAUGCAUUCUAAUUGGGCCUAAGUGGCGCAGCUCCUCUCUAAGUAGCUUCCUGAUCCUUCCCGCUCAAACUGACACGUUUCAUAUGCUUGACAUGUUUUUUUAAUGUUGCUUACUAAUCUGUUUCUUCCUCCGGCUGAACUUAACUGAAGCUACUCACAUUCCAGGCAGCUCCUGACUGCCAGCAGCAUGGUGCCGUUUACCCGUGGGGGGGGGGGGGGGGGGGCACAGGUCAAAUACAACCUGAAUAAUAAUGGCAAUGCAAAUAUGACGCCUUGUUUACUGUUAGUGGGUCUUAUCUGUUUUCAUUCAAAAAGCCGAGCAGUAAAUCCUUUGGUAAUAAGUUUGACCUGUAAAUUUGAAUUUCUUCAUGUCUCUUAUCAGCUGACUCCAACAGACGGCCUCCGAAUCGACCCUUUCAGUAUUUUAACUAGCGUCUAAUCAAAUGUGCUUUCAAAUCCUCUCCAGUGGACUAAAUAAUACGGCUUGUUGUUUGUGGAACGUGUGACAGUGAGCGGAGCUUCAAGCUGCUGCUCACAUCCAGCCGUGUAACAGAAAAUGAUUGGAGACCAGAUGAGGAAUGAAGAUUCAUUCUGAACACAGCGCUUACACAACUUCCAUUUCUGCCUCUGAAAUUCCACAGUGAUUAUUUUUGUUUUGUUCAAUGAAACUUUCAUUUAUUUAUUUCGCAAUAAUAAUUCGGUGGAAAUUGAGAACCAGAGAACGAGGAGUCGCGGAGCUCAACAGGAAAUUAUGCAGCCUGAAGUCCGGGAGGCGGUUCUUGGCUGAUACAUAAAAAAAUCCUGCAGCUCACAGGAUGUGUGGAGCCCACACACAUAAUCAUAAAAUCCAUACGCACCGCAGUGAGAGCAGCCAAACGUACGCAGCAAUCUGUGCCCACGCUGUUCAGAAGAACAUCAGAGCAGACCCAAGCCUCCACCCGAACCUCCAACACUCGGACUCCUCAAUCAUGAUGGUGCAGCGUCCAAUCAGAGUCACCUCCUCUGGUCCUCCACGGUCCACAUCAUCUGGUCCUCCAGAGUCCACAUCCUGUGGUCUCUUACAUCAUAUCUAGUUCCAGAUCGACAAUGUUGGGAUUUUCACAAGCUUAGAGCGAGAAGCAGGAGUCGGAGGUCUGUGAGUAUCGGUCCUCCGAAGUUUGGUUUCAGUGUCCUGAGAACCGUUAUAAUAUAUGCUAAUAAUAUAUAAUAUAAUUACAUGUUAUGUAACUCUUGUAAGAACUUAUUGUUCAUCCGAGGGCGUUUAACUAAAAGAUUUAACCAAACUGUUGACACAAACCUGAGAAAACCUGUUGAAGCCACAGCAGCCAGCCUGUGGAAUUAGGAUUUAUCUUCUGCGAGCUGAGCAGUCUACCUGAGGAAGGACGAGUACUCAGGUGUGAGGCUACAGGUGUGUGUGGACAUUUGUUCACAUCGAGUCUCUUGCUAAAUGAGUCACGACACACACACACAUCGCAACGAUAACGCUCAACACGAACGCCACUAUACACACACACACACACACAAUCCCACACACUCCAAAGGUCGAUGCCCGGCUAUCAAACCCCGACACACACACUCACACACACACACACACACACACACAGAGGGGGUCCACUGGGGUUUGGAGUAGAAAGAGACUCACUGUUGGUUUCAUCCUCGCUCGUCGCUGUAGUGGCUUUGAUCCUCCUCUCCACUGCAUCCCUCUCUCUCUCUCUCUCUCUCCCUCCCCCUCCUGCUCCUCCCUACUCUCACCCUUUCCCUCUCUCCCCAUCUGCUUGCUUUCUCUCCCCCUCACCCUCUCUCUCUCCCUCACCUUUUCCUGCUCUCCCCCAUCUCCCCCUCUCACUCACUCCAUCCUCCUUUUCUUCUCCCCUCUCCUCCUCUCUUUCUCCCACCCUCUCUCCAUCCUUCUCUUCCCCUCCCACUCUCUUUCUCUCCCUUCUCUCUAUUACUCUCUCUCUACAACUCUCUCUCCCCCUCUGCCUCUGGCUCUCUCUCCCCUUACCCCACUCUCCCUCUUCCUCACUCACUCUGUUCUGAAACAUAAUGGACGGCGGUAAGGCAGGCGCAGCGCUUUGUUGCCAUGGUGAUGGCAAAGGAACUAAUAACCUGGUGAAGAGCAGAUAAGGCUGUGAACAGAGAGAGAGGAGAGCGGACGGGAGGAAGGAGAAACAAUGAGCAGUAGGUAGGGCAGGGGGAGGGGGGCACAAGUAUUAAAACUGAGUAUUAGUACUGUGAGUGUGAGUAUUAGUUGUAUUGCCGUGAGUGAAUGUGAGUGGUGUUGUUGUGCGUGAUGAUUGUAUUGUAAUUCUAAGUGAUUAUUACGAGCUGCAUAUUGAAUAUGUGAGCAUUAUCAUUUCUGCUAAUAUGCAUAUAAUGUGAGUACAUAAAGUAUUGUUUCUGCGAGAGUGUGUACUGUUGUGAGUAUGAGUAUUACCACUAUGAUUGUUAAUUAUUAUAAUGGUUAAAGUAUUAUUUUUAUAGGUAAAAUAAUAUGAUUUUGAAUUUCACUACUAUUAGUAGAAUUGGCCUUUUUGUCAUGAAAGUGUUUUAUAUCUAUCUCUAAAUGCUGAAUGUGUUUACAUUAAGAUCUUAUAUUUUGACUUCAUCUCACCACAAGGCAGAAGACAACAGUAACCAUUUACUGAGUGUUUGAUACAAACCAAAAGGGAAUCACACACAUUCUACCUCACGUCGUGGCUGGCUACCCACAAUGCAACUUGUCAACCGCUAGUCGGGUAUCUUUGUGGGGGAAUGGUCUCCAUGGUGCUGAAGCCUCACUGCGAUGUGUCCUGGUGGCCCAUGGUGCUCUCCAUGGUGCUGAAGCCUCAAUGUGAUGUGACCUGAUGGUCCAUGGUGCUCUCCAUGGUGCUGAAGUCUCAUUGCGAUGUGAUCUGAUGGUCCAUGGUGCUCUCCAUGGUUCUGAAGUCUCACUGUGGUGUGUCCUGGUGGCCCAUGGUGCUCUCCAUGGUUCUGAAGCCUCACUGCGGUGUGUUCUGGUGGUCCAUGGUGCUCUCCAUGGUUCUGAAGCCUCACUGUGGUGUGUCCUGGUGGUCCAUGGUGGUGCUGUGUUGCUGAAGCCUAAUGUACAAAAUCGUUAUGGCCUCUGCUUCCCCAGGGAUGUUAUCAAUAUAUAACCAAAGUAGCUAUUCUUUUGUGGUUUGCUAGUCAAAGGUGAACCUAACAAAUGCAACAGCGGUUCGGUCAGAUAUUUGGGUGAGAUAUGCCUCCCUCUCCUUUAUGCUCCUCUCUCUUCAGCCUUUAGUAGAGAUGAGCAGCUCGCCACAGAGCACAGCUAGCUUUGCUUAUAGUCCACACCAGUGCGUUCCGUUGUUGUUCUUUCAUUUUGUUACCUCUGUUUCACUCUGACAUGAACUCCCUGCUAUCCAGUCACUCCCUGCUGCCCUGCAGUAACCCCUUCCCAGCAGCUGACCUUCCUCGCCCACCUGCCCACUUGUUUAGCUGCUUUCCACCUCCCUCAUCAGCCCUGCAGUGUAAACACCACAUUGUGUCGUUUGCAUUUGCUCAGAUUUGUAACCUUUUCUGCCUCUCCAUCUUCCUUAUUCAUGAAUUAAAGAUUCCCUCCCCGGAUUGGUUUGUCUUUCCUGACUUUGAUUGACAAGAGUCUCUGGGGGCCUCACCUCCUGUCAUCUAUACAAUGAGUAAAUAGAAUCCCCCCAAAACAUCAACAAACUAAAGCUUUAAAUACUACAGUACAAAAGUAAAUGUAUUUAUCAUGAAUAGACAGUGAAAAAAAUCAGAAAUUUUGUUUCAAAAUGUGUAAAUUUGGGUUUGAUGGUGGAGAAAAAGUAAGCUCAGCCUAAAAAAAUCAAAGCGAGAAGAAUCCUCUGAAAAACAACCCUGAGUAUCAACAUAGAUCUUUAUAGAUAUUGGACUCACAGUCUUUCAGAAAAAGUCCAGAAUCCUGCAUCAGGAUGAAAGCCAACAUCAGGGUGCCAGCAGAGGAGACAACCCCCCCCCCCCCAUCUCUUUCUAAUGGGACCACAAACCCUUUCUCCAAAGAAACACAGGCUAGUGAUGACCAGGGAACUCCAUUCCUGAGGUUUAAACAUGACGAAUGAAAUGUUCCUUUAACAGUUGAGGAAAUCCAUUUAUAUUUAAGGCUGAAAGAGAACCCUGUAAUGAGGUUUUUGAGGGUUUCUUUAGUCCUUCAACCAUAUAAGAAGCUCUUUUUCCUUAUCGCAUGACAAGUUGACAUUAUUACAGAUACAUGGAUUUUAAUGGAUGGCAAAGUUUCCUCUUCAUUUUUAAGGGUCUUUAAGUGUAGAAGCGUAUCUUUUUUUCCAACACUGGAAAAAGACAAGAGUAGAAAUUAUUUAACUUAUUCGUACAAUAAGACAAGUCAAAUAUUGCAAAAAAGAAUUCCAUAGUUUUUAUGAGAGUUAACCUGGAGAUUUCUUUCAUCUUAAGCAUCAUUAUCUGUAUCUCUAUAACCUGAGGGUGAACCUGCUCACACACACACACACACACACACUGAGAGGGUCAAGAAGGUGUGUGUUUUGAGGAGGGGGGGGGGGCUGCUGGGCGAGGAAUGUACUUGGAGAUGUUUUCCUACUCUUCAUUUGAUGUUGCUGUUUUCCUGGUCGCUUUGAUCUCCUGCUCCAUCGCUGUCGAGCCGCUGCUGAAGUUUGAGAUUCAGUGUGAGUGUGAGUUCACACACACACACACACACACACACACACACACAAACACAUCCAUUCAUCGCCUGUGUCAUCGGUUUACUCGACAGUCAAAAACAAAACUGCAACAUCUUGGACGUGAAGCAGGAGUGAAGGCAGGAGGAGGACUAUCCACUAGCAGUGGAAGAAGUACCCAGAUACACUGAAGUAAAUCUCCAGAAGCAGAAGCAUCAACAUACACUUAUAU
ensembl:lncRNA